UUUGAGGCAGCAAUAAAUUCUGGAUUAGAACGAGGGAUGUCAAGGGUUCUGGGGAGAAGGCAGGAAAAUGGGAUUAGGAGGCAGAGAUCAGACAUGAUUGAAUGGCGGAGUGGACUCGAUGGGCCAAAUG